rnacentral:tRNA from 1 species
UCCCUGGUGGUCUAGUGGUUAAGACUCUGCACAUCCAAUGCAGGGGGCACGGGUUCGAUUUGUGGUCGGGGAA